rnacentral:rRNA from 1 species
AUUGAACGCUGGCGGCAUGCUUUACACAUGCAAGUCGAACGGCAGCACGGGUGCUUGCACCUGGUGGCGAGUGGCGAACGGGUGAGUAAUGUAUCGGAACGUACCCGGCAAUGGGGGAUAACGUAGCGAAAGUUACGCUAAUACCGCAUAUGCCCUGAGGGGGAAAGUGGGGGAUCGCAAGACCUCACGUUGUCGGAGCGGCCGAUAUCAGAUUAGCUAGUUGGUGGGGUAAAGGCCUACCAAGGCGACGAUCUGUAGCUGGUCUGAGAGGACGACCAGCCAAACUGGGACCGAGACACGGCCCAGACUCCUACGGGAGGCAGCAGUGGGGAAUUUUGGACAAUGGGGGCAACCCUGAUCCAGCCAUGCCGCGUGAGUGAAGAAGGCCUUCGGGUUGUAAAGCUCUUUCGGACAGAAAGAAAUCGCCACUUCUAAUAAAGGUGGUGGAUGACGGUACUGUAAGAAGAAGCACCGGCUAACUACGUGCCAGCCGCCGCUGUAA